GGAGAGGUGGGUGAGCGGUCGAAACCGGCGGUUUGCUAAACCGCUGUACCGCCAAAAGCGGUACCGAGGGUUCGAAUCCCUCCCUCUCCG
rnacentral:tRNA from 1 species